AUUAGCGAACAGUAGUACCCGAACGUCCCGAACCAUAUACUCAUCUUCUUCUCCAGCAAAAAUUGAGAAUAGCGACCCCUAUACUCGUCUUCUUCACCUUAAAGUCCGCCGGAUUUGGCGCAAAAAUCGGCGGAUAAGCGGUUGUUCCCCCACCUCGAACGUCCCUUUUCCCUUUUUCGAUGAUGUCAGAGCCGCACCAAGUC
rnacentral:lncRNA from 1 species